AUUGAACGCUGGCGGCAUGCCUUACACAUGCAAGUCGAACGGUAACAGGUCUUCGGAUGCUGACGAGUGGCGAACGGGUGAGUAAUACAUCGGAACGUGCCUAGUAGUGGGGGAUAACUACUCGAAAGAGUGGCUAAUACCGCAUGAGAUCUACGGAUGAAAGCAGGGGAUCGCACGACCUUGUGCUACUAGAGCGGCCGAUGGCAGAUUAGGUAGUUGGUGGGAUAAAAGCGUACCAAGCCGACGAUCUGUAGCUGGUCUGAGAGGACGAUCAGCCAAACUGGGACUGAGACACGGCCCAGACUCCUACGGGAGGCAGCAGUGGGGAAUUUUGGACAAUGGGCGAAAGCCUGAUCCAGCAAUGCCGGGGGCAGGAUGAAGGCCUUCGGGUUGUAAACUGCUUUUGUACGGAACGAAAAGCCCCGGGUUAAUACCCUGGGGUCAUGACGGUACCGUAAGAAUAAGCACCGGCUAACUACGUGCCAGCCGCCGCCGUAA
rnacentral:rRNA from 1 species